GACGAACGCUGGCGGCGUGCUUAACACAUGCAAGUCGAACGGAAAGGCCCUGCUUUUGUGGGGUGCUCGAGUGGCGAAAGGGUGAGUAACACGUGAGUAACCUGCCAUUGACUUUGGGAUAACUUCAGGAAACUGGGGCUAAUACCGGAUAGGAGCUCCUGCUGCAUGGUGGGGGUUGGAAAGUUUCGGCGGUUGGGGAUGGACUCGCGGCUUAUCAGCUUGUUGGUGGGGUAGUGGCUUACCAAGGCUUUGACAGGUAGCCGGCCUGAGAGGGUGACCGGCCACAUUGGGACUGAGGAGCGGCCCAAACUCCUACGGGAGGCAGCAGUGGGGAAUAUUGCACGAUGGGCGGAAGCCUGAUGCAGCAACGCCGCGUGCGGGAUGACGGCCUUCGGGUUGUAAACCGCUUUCGUCUGUGACGAAGCGUGAGUGACGGUAAUGGGUAAAGAAGCACCGGCUAACUACGUG
rnacentral:rRNA from 1 species